rnacentral:rRNA from 2 species
CGUGACGGCGCGAGCAGGUGCGAAAGCAGGUCAUAGUGAUCCGGUGGUUCUGAAUGGAAGGGCCAUCGCUCAACGGAUAAAAGGUACUCCGGGGAUAACAGGCUGAUACCGCCCAAGAGUUCAUAUCGACGGCGGUGUUUGGCACCUCGAUGUCGGCUCAUCACAUCCUGGGGCUGAAGUAGGUCCCAAGGGUAUGGCUGUUCGCCAUUUAAAGUGGUACGCGAGCUGGGUUUAGAACGUCGUGAGACAGUUCGGUCCCUAUCUGCCGUGGGCGCUGGAGAACUGAGGGGGGCUGCUCCUAGUACGAGAGGACCGGAGUGGACGCAUCACUGGUGUUCGGGUUGUCAUGCCAAUGGCACUGCCCGGUAGCUAAAUGCGGAAGAGAUAAGUGCUGAAAGCAUCUAAGCACGAAACUUGCCCCGAGAUGA